AAUCUGCCUGGUAUUGGGGGAUAACGUUCCGAAAGGAACGCUAAUACCGCAUACGUCCUACGGGAGAAAGCAGGGGACCUUCGGGCCUUGCGCUAUCAGAUGAGCCUAGGUCGGAUUAGCUAGUUGGUGAGGUAAUGGCUCACCAAGGCGACGAUCCGUAACUGGCCUGAGAGGAUGAUCAGUCACACUGGAACUGAGACACGGUCCAGACUCCUACGGGAGGCAGCAGUGGGGAAUAUUGGACAAUGGGCGAAAGCCUGAUCCAGCCAUGCCGCGUGUGUGAAGAAGGUCUUCGGAUUGUAAAGCACUUUAAGUUGGGAGGAAGGGCAUUAACCUAAUACGUUAGUGUUUUGACGUUACCGACAGAAUAAGCACCGGAUAACUUCGUGCCAGCAGCCGCGGUAAUACGAAGGGUGCAAGCGUUAAUCGGAAUUACUGGGCGUAAAGCGCGCGUAGGUGGUUCGUUAAGUUGGAUGUGAAAGCCCCGGGCUCAACCUGGGAACUGCAUCCAAAACUGGCGAGCUAGAGUACGGUAGAGGGUGGUGGAAUUUCCUGUGUAGCGGUGAAAUG
rnacentral:rRNA from 1 species